AUUCGUGAGACUUUAGGGUAUUUCUUGGCAACGCUGUGAGUACUACAGCACCCACCUGGUUCAGUCAGCAAAACUCAGUCACGUAAACUUAGCUAACAGGCGCCGAAUGUCAAAACAAACAUCAAGAUGAAAUCAAAACAUUGGCCCCCAAAAGAAAUCCUCUACCCGAGAUAAAUCUUACAAAACAAGGCGAACGGGGAAUGCCAGGAGAAAACAAACGGGAAAUCUUGACCAAUCAACAACAGAUAACCAGUGAAAAAUACGAAAUACCGGCACAACAGAGUGGUACCCAACUGAGACCACACAACAGCGAAACCAAACAGAUCAGUCACGUCACAGGAUGCAAAGUCACAAAGGGACUCGUAAGAGACAAGCUCAGGAAACGCAAAGUCUCGAGGUAAUGUUUUACAUUGCCACUAUAAUGGUCCCUCAAAGAGAAUUUAUUAAUAAGGCUCUGUACUUAUUAUAGUCAAUAAAUAUUCAAUUACUA